AAUAUUGGUCAAUGGACGGAAGUCUGAACCAGCCAUGCCGCGUGCAGGAAGACGGCCUUCUGGGUUGUAAACUGCUUUUCUCAGGGAAGAAAAUGGCCUUGCGAGGCAAAUUGCCGGUACCUGAGGAAUAAGCACCGGCUAACUCCGUGCCAGCAGCCGCGGUAAUACGGAGGGUGCGAGCGUUGUCCGGAUUUAUUGGGUUUAAAGGGUGCGCAGGCGGCCCUAUUAAGUCAGUGGUGAAAGGUAUCAGCUUAACUGAUGACGUGCCAUUGAAACUGAUAGGCUUGAGUACAGACGAGGUAGGGCGGAAAUUUUAUGGGUGUAGCGGUGAAAAUGCAUAGAUACCCAUAAAAGAACACCGAUAGCGAAGGCAGCUUACUAGACUGAGACUGACGCUGAGGCACGAAAGCGUGGGAGCGAACAGGAUUAGAUACCCUGGUAGUCCACGCUGUA
rnacentral:rRNA from 1 species